UGAGGACUCACCAAGUAAGGUUGUAAUCUUCCAUUGAAGGUUUUUUCUCUGUGUGUGUGCGUGGUUUUUUUUUUUUUUUUUCAUCCUAAGUAUGUUCAAGACCUUGUACAGCUGGAGAUUGGAAGAUUAAAGGCUGGUUCUUGGUUCUCAGGACAAUCUCUUACAAAUAGCCAAAGGGAAUGGUCUAAACUGGGCACCAUGACUAUGACUGCACCAGCCAGAGAAUGACCUGAGAAAUUUUUGAUUUCCUGGGUCAAACAGAACCAGAAGAGGCUGAGAUUGCAUUAAAAGACUGUCUUUUGAAGUAUUGGGUUUUAAGGGACGUCAUGCAAAGAGACCUAACUGAGUUUCAAUGGAUAAAUGAUGGACAGAAACAGCUACACCCAAAGAAGGAACACUGGGAAACGAAUGUGAACUAUUUGCAUUUUUGAUUUUCUUCCCGAGUUAUUUUUACCUUCUAAAUCCAAUUCUCCCUGUGCAACAGGAGAACUGUUCGGUUCUGCAAAUAUGUAUUGUAUCUAGGAUAUACUGCAACAUAUCUAACAUAUAUAGGACUGCUUGCCAUUUUGGGGAGGGGGUGGAGGGAGGGAGGGGAAAAAAUCGAAACAUAAGCGAGUGCAAGGGAUAAUGUUGUAAAAAAUUACCCUGGCAUGGAUUCUGUCAAUAUAAAGUUAUUGUUAAAUAAAAUAAAAUUUAAAUUAAAAAAAAAAAGGGACAUCAUGAAAAACAUAUUUCCAUAUUAACCAUGAUAACAAAAAAAGCAAGAAAAAUAAAGAAAGUGGGGGAAAAUAUACUUCAAUCUAUACUCAGAGUUUAUGAAUUAUCUCUCAGGAGGUGGAUAGAAUUUUUCAUCAUGAAUCCUUCAGAAUGAAUUAUUGUAUUAUUCAGAGAACCUAAGUCUUUCAUAGUUGAUCAUCAUUAUAAUAUUGCCCUUAGUGUUUUGGAUAUGUUCACUUUACUUUGCAUCAAUUCAUAUACAUUGUUAGAGUUCAAAUGUUGGAGUUUGUUCUUCUCAAAGCACAGCCGGUUUAGAGGCUUGGAGCCCUUCGGAUGUCUCCAAACCCAAAGGUUCUGUCCUUCAGCCUCUGACUCUGCUUUCUUCUGCCUCCAACCAAGACAGAGAUGGAAGGUCUCUCUUAUCUCCUUCUGGGGAGCCCAGCCACCAACUUGCCGCGGAGAGAGGGCUUCUGGCGUAGCUCCACUGAAAUCCGUCAAAGUGUUCUCUGCACAAGAGUCGUUCCUCUCGAGUCCAGCGCGAUCAGCCAGCCAAGACGAAAAAAUGUAUUCAGCCAUAGAUCCCUCAUGGCUGGCCUUUUAUAUGCCUCUUCUGAGAGAAUGGGAUUAUGGGUUUUCUCCCAUAGUGCUCUCUGGCCCAAUGAGCUUUAAGGGAGGUGUAGAAAGUGUACUUUGUGAAGCUAGCAUACUUGUGGACUCCAGUGAGUAAAGGUGUGAACACAAGCCUUGUCUUAAUUAGUUCUACUUAGUACCUUGUUUCAGGUUCUGGCCAAAACAACUUCUUGUAAGAUUAGAUCAACUCUAAUUACUUAGCAGUUAGUAAGGAUUCCAACAAUACAUCUUCCCAAGUUUUUCUGUAUCUAUUCCCUUCACCAUUUCUGAUGGCACAAUAGUAUUCCAACACAAUUAUAUAGCACAACUUGAUGGACAUUUCCUUAGUUUCCAAUUCUUUGCCACCACAAAGAAACCUUGCAAAUUAUUGUCAAUACUUACUCCCUUUGCAUCCAUUUGAACUUUAUAAUAAUUUGACUUCUUUAUAGUUUACUUGUUUAAACAGUGUGAUCUAUCUCACUAACUAGACUAUAAAUCCUAGAGAACAGCAACUGCAUCUUAAACUUUCUUAUUGACUUAAAGUUAUAUGACAGUGUGUUAAAAAAUCUUUUCAAUUUUUCUGGAAAUAAUAAGAUAUAUUUCUCUGAUCUAAAAGUUCUUUCUAGACUUGCCUUCUUCCUUUUAGAAAGGUAGAUAAGGUAAAGGCAAAAAACUUUUCUGGGGGGGAAGUAAACUAGGGGGUAGUCAACUUUAGAUACAAGUCUAUCUAGUCUUCUACUCUUCCCCAUUCAUUAAGUAAUGGAUCUAUAAAUUCAUCAAAGAGCAUUUUCCUCUUUUCCUGUAUUCCCUAAACCUUUCUUCUUACUAAUAGGCAUUCUUUCUUAUUUCAACAGAAUUUUGAUUUUGAUAUAAAGCUAGUUGGUCCCUUUGUUUAUUCCCAGUGAAGUUCUAGUGGAGAGUGGUCUAGAAAGGAAUCAGUACUGACUAUUGCUCUGGAAAGUUGUUCUAAAAUUGUAUUUGAAUUAGAACACAAGGUUUUGUAAGGGUGAAUGUUGAAAAUUAUCCACGUAUGUAUUUUGAAAAUAAAAAGUUUUAAUUAAAAAAAAAAAAAAA